rnacentral:misc_RNA from 1 species
AAGUCGUAACAAGGUUUCCGUAGGUGAACCUGCGGAAGGAUCAUUAACACGUAUCCACGUUAAUAUCAAACACUCCGAACUGUGCUCCCUGGCCUCCAACCUCUGCGCUGUCCGAUAUGGGUUAUAAUGGGUUUGCAAUCGCGUCGCAGAUUCGCUCUAGGACGAUUGUGAACAGACUUGUAUCCGACUAUCACUCCUCGAGAGUGUGGCAAAGUAACCGGACGCUGGGCUUAUUUUACCCCAUCAAACUGCUCUUCUCAACCAUUUUGAGAGGGGUGGCGCGAUACCAUACCAAUUUCACCCUAUUUUACCUAUUUGACUAAUUAUAUGCAUUCGAUGGGAGAAAUCCUAUUGGAAUGAUCUAAGAUUUAUCUUAACUAAGCACAACUCUUAGCAAUGGAUAUCUUGGUUCUC